CUUGAGGUUCUCGUGGUUGAGGUCGGUGACCCCCAGGGUGUCCCUGUCACCCCUUCCUGACCCUCCUGAGACCCCACCCAAAUUCUGGGGACCCCUCCCAGAUUUUGGGGACCCCUCCCAGAUUUUGGGGACCCCUCCCAGAUUUCAGGGACCCCUCCCAGAUUUCGGGGACCCCCUGAAGGUUUCGGGGACCCCCCAAAUUUCAGGGACCUUGAGGUUCCUGUGGCUGCUUCCCUGCCCUCCUGAGACCCCUGGGAACCUGCCCAAGUUUUGGGGACCCCACCCAAAUUUCAGGGACCCCUCCCAGAUUUCGGGGACCCCUCCCAGAUUCCGGGGACCCCUCCCAGAUUUUGGGGACCCCUCCCAGAUUUCGGGGACCCCCUGAAGGUUUCGGGGACCCCCUGACCUUGAGGUUCUCGUGGUUGAGGUCGGUGACCCCCAGGGUGUCCCUGUCACCCCUUCCUGACCCUCCUGAGACCUUUGGGGACCUCCCCAAAUUCCUGGGACCCCCUGAAGAUUUUGGGGACCCCUCCCAGAUUUCGGGGACCCCUCCCAGAUUUCGGGGACCCCCCCAGAUUUUGGGGACCCCCUGACCUUGAGGUUCUCAUGGUUGAGGUCGGUGGCCUCAGGGUGUCCCUGUCACCCCUUCCUGACCCUCCUGAGACCCCACCCAAAUUCCUGAGACCCCACCCAAAUUCCGGGGACCCCCUGAAGGUUCCGGGGACCCCUCCCAGAUUUUGGGGACCCCUCCCAGAUUUCGGGGACCCCCCCCAGAUUUUGGGGACCCCCUGACCUUGAGGUUCUCGUGGUUGAGGUUGGUGACCCCCAGGGUGUCCCUGUCACCCCUUCCUGACCCUCCUGAGACCCCACCCAAAUUCCUGGGACCCCUCCCAGAUUUCGGGGACCCCUCCCAGAUUGUGGGGACCCCCCCAGGUUUUGGGGACCCCCUGACCCUGAGGUUCUCGUGAUUGAGGUGUGUCCAGUGCUUGGUGACCCCCAGGGUGUCCCUGUCACCCCUUCCUGACCCUCCUGAGACCUUUGGGGACCUCCCCAAAUUCCGGGGACCCCCUGAAGGUUCUGGGGACCCCUCCCAGAUUUUGGGGACCCCCCCAGAUUUCGGGGACCCCUCCCAGAUUUUGGGGACCCCCUGACCUUGAGGUUCUCGUGGUUGAGGUCGGUGACCCCCAGGGUGUCCCUGUCACCCCUUCCUGACCCUCCUGAGACCCCACCCAAAUUCUGGGGACCCCUCCCAGAUUUCGGGGACCCCUCCCAGAUUUUGGGGACCCCUCCCAGAUUUCGGGGACCCCCCCCAGGUUUUGGGGACCC